rnacentral:rRNA from 1 species
UCGUAGGUGACCUGCGGAAGGAUCAUUACCGAGUUGAUUCGGGCUCCGUCCCGAUCCUCCCACCCUUUGUAUACCUACCUCUGUUGCUUUGGCGGGCCGCGGUCUUCCGCGGCCGCCCCCCGAUUUUGGGGGGUGGCUAGUGCCCGCCAGAGGACUAUCAAACUCCAGUCAGUAAACGUUGCAGUCUGAAAAAAAUAUUAAAUAAACUAAAACUUUCAACAACGGAUCUCUUGGUUCUGGCAUCGAUGAAGAACGCAGCGAAAUGCGAUAAGUAAUGUGAAUUGCAGAAUUCAGUGAAUCAUCGAAUCUUUGAACGCACAUUGCGCCCCUUGGUAUUCCGGGGGGCAUGCCUGUUCGAGCGUCAUUUCAACCCUCAAGCUCUGCUUGGUAUUGGGCACCGUCCUUUGCGGGCGCGCCUCAAAGACCUCGGCGGUGGCGUCUUGCCUCAAGCGUAGUAGAAUACACCUCGCUUCGGAGCGUAAGGCGUCGCCCGCCGGACGAACCUUCUGAACUUUUCUCAAGGUUGACCUCGGAUCAGGUAGGGAUACCCGCUGAACUUAAGCAUAUCA